GGCGCGGGGGUGGGACGAAACGAGGUAAACAGCGGCCGCCCUGGGAGGUCCGGGGCGGAGUGCAGCGGAGCGGCCGCCGGUGCCCACUCCCGCAGGCCCGCCCCUCGGGCUGUGACCUCCCGAGCCUGGGCAGCCCCUCGCGGCAGUCCCCGCGCCGGAAGCCCCGGAGCCCGGGAUGAGGCCGGAAUUUCAGAGCGGAGAACAACCGCAGAGACCACCCCACCGCUUCCUUGCUGCGGAGGGGCACACGGACCCGAGCGGAGAGGGGACUUGCCAAAAGGCACGUAAGCAUCUGGAGCUGAGCCAGAGCUGGAGCUCAGGGCCCCAGAGUUGGGUCCAGGGCGCUCCUGGACAACUUCAUAGAGCUCCCACAAAUUCGAGGACCCCUAAAGAAGAUUGUUUGCAUACUUACUGCUCCAGACAUUGCCACAAUAGUCAUAGAUCCUCUGUGAGUUCACAAAGCCUUGCUUGGACCGGUUCCUGCUCAUGGCAUCAUAAAUGGUGGCAGGACCUUGAAGGGCUAAGGAGGCUCAAGGAGGUAGACCCAUAUGAACUAGAAUCUUCAGUUAGGAACACGGCUUGCACAUCCUGGGGGAAGAUUAGCUCUGGGCUCUCCUUACUGGAAUGCUGAACACACUUAACUUCCCCUGUCUUCUCUCUCACCUCUUCUUUGUCCAGCCACGGAUUUUCUGAAAUUGCCUUCUUUGUUCAGGCCACGGGAAGAACAUCAAGAAAGAAGAGGCCCUUGGACUGGGCAUUAGCGGAGCUAAGUUUGAGUCCUGGCUCUGCUGUGUGGCUCUGGGCAAGUCCCUUCCCUUCUCUGAUACUCAGCUUCCCCUUCUAGACUGUGAAGGAAUCAGACAAGAUGAUCACUAAGGGACCUUCCAUUUUGACACCGGAAAGUGCCUUCUCAGUACCAGGGUCAGAGACCAAGAGGACAACUGAUCUUAGAAUCUGGAGAAAAGGGAGCUCUGUUCCACUUUUUGUGGUCACACGGCAUUCUACAUAGUGGAUGUGAAAGGAAAAAUUAAACCUCAAACCAAGUCGCUCCGAGGAGACGAGGUACAUGUUGGUUCUGUCGGCAUCUGGAAAGUGGGAUUCGGGAAUGCAUUUUGCAAAAUUGUGCUUUCCAAGGAAAGGAAAGAAAAACAGAUAUAGGGCAGUAUGUUGCAAGGUUCUUGUCAAAGGAAGAAGAUCCAAGGACGAAUGUUGCAAGACUGUGCUGCUAAAGGAAGUGGCUUCUUAGCUCAUUUGAUCUGGAACAAAGCUUACAGAUUAUCUUGGCCACUCCCCUGGCUGGACAGAAGGGGAAACUAAGGCUCGGGGAGGGGAAGACCUGUGCCCAAGGCCAGGCUGGGAGUUCCUGACAAGCUGGCGUUACUAGGCUUCUCAACCACCUCCUGCCUGCUGCCUUUCUUCUAGCCCUCGAGCACGGGUCACGACCACUUCUGAUUUUGCUCCAGGCCCCUAGCCCACCCUCCACCCUCACAUUCUCUUGGACAGCAUCCCUGGUCACAAGAUAGGACUCAAUCUGGGAACUUGGAUCUCCACCUGCCAGAUACCAGGGGCCAAAGCCAGUAAGAGGCUGGGGCAAGCUGGAGAGGAAGGAGCUGAGUCUGAUGAUGUGGCCUGACCUCAGAAAGGAAGCCUGGUCACCAGGGGGAAUUUCCCCGGGGUGAGGUCUCAUGUCUAUGCAAAUGAUGCACUCCAAUUAACCUGGACCCCAGAACGGGAGAGGGGCAAAGGGAGACAGCACUGUGCUAGGCUCCUCCUGUGCUGCGUCUCAUCUUGUCCCCAGAACAGCCACCUAGGUAGGAAAGCGGGGUGGUGUGGCGGGGGGGGGGGCCUGAGGCCCAGUGAGGGGAAGGCAGGUCUGCCCCAGAGAACGCAGUGCACCCCCAAGGGGACACAAGGCCUUGGAGAGCAAUGCUGUGGGUGGAGUUGGAGCCGCUGCUGUUGCCGCUGACCAGAGUGACAGUGACAAGGCUCGAGUGGGAGAAGCCUAGCAAAGUUUCAUUUUGGGUUUCCAUCUCACUCACCUGGGGACUUUUGUCCUGGGGACAGCUAAAAGGCAAGCGGGGACGUAGGGACCCUGACUCCGCUUGGGCAAAUCCCUGCACUCAGGUUUUCCAAAGCCCGAAGGUGGGGUGUGCAGCAGUGGCACUGUUAACCCUUUCACCGCCAGCUUCUAGAACACUCCUUGAAAAGUGGACCGAGUCGGGACGUGGGCUGUUGACAGCAAAUCUCUCCCUCCUGCCUCUUUAAUUUUCACUCAGUUGAGCCUCACUACUCCACAAAGACUUCCCUGGGGAUUUCGUUCCUCUCAAAGGCGGAUCCCGCUUACUGCCUGGUUCUCCAAGGAGCUGGUCUUGCCUCCCCCAGAGCAGGGCUGCAAACAGGAGCAGAGCUCAAGUCCAGAGCAUUUGGGCGCAAAGUUUGCUCUCCACAGAGCCUGGUUGUUUGUUCUGCUGUCGAAGAACAUACCCGAGAGCAGGCAGGUCAGUGAUUCCCGGAGUUGUGUGCCACACACUAAGGCUGUGUGCCAAGGAAAGUAUGAGUGCAUACAUGCUCUGGUGAGCGCGUGUGAGAGGCGAGUCUAGGUACUUGUGUGAGGAGUUUUGUGUAGUACGCAUAUGGACAACAGUAUCUGUAUUUCUGAGCGGCGUAUUUGUGGGCCUAAUCAUUUUAUCUUCCUGUGUGGUCCACGGUGUGCAUUUCUGUGUGUGUGUUACCAGCAGUGUGCUUCUGAUUCUGGGAUAUACAUGGUGUGUCCCCAUGGGUAUGACUGGCAGUGAUGUGGAAUUCUGUGUGUGUGAUAAAUGGGAUUUGGGGGCUUUGAGUGGACACCAGCCGUGUGGGAGAACAGAAAUCACUAGCCCAGCACAGACUUGGGAUCUCUAGAUCCAUUCCCCACCCUCCCUGCUCACCUAUCAGGCCCUCCCAGCCCCGCCCAUGGCUAUCUCCAGGUCAAGGUCCAAGGCCAUCCCAAUGAGGUAGCCACUAGGUGGUUCUGGCUGCAGCUGGCAGCACACUAGGCAGAUGGGGGUAGCUGAGAGGGAGGGGUGAGACCGUCCCACAGAAGGAAAUGCAUGUUCUGCAAACUGCUACAACAGCUGGCCCAGGGGAAGGAGCCAUUGCCAGACAGCUCCCGUAUGGCUUCUCCAGUUCUCACCUGAGAGGUGGGCAGUGAGAUGGCCUGCACUGGAGGUCUCCGGCCUCACAUGCUGCUUGUAAAAGCACCUGCUGCCUCUGGGUUCCCGGGUAAUGACAUUACCUCUGGCUUUGUAUCUCCCUCCCUCUCUAAUCCCCCAUGGCAGAUUGGGCAGUUUCCUUGGUUUCUCACACCACCAUGUUUUUCUUAAGGCUCUUUUCUCCAUGUCUGCUUUCCUGCCCUGGCUCCUGUCCUCAUCCUUCUAUAUCGGAGGAACACUGCAAGCCAGUCCAAUGGUCUCCCAGCCCGUUUCCUUCUUCACACUGGCCACAGAGAUGUCUUUCUAAAGGACAUCUCUACUCCUGUCCCUUGCACCUUUGGGGCUGGCCAAGGCCUGGAGGGUAAGGUCCACACUUUAGCCUAGACUCCCCUUCUGGGUUCUUCUCCUUUAUGAAAUGGAACCUAGCCUACUUAUUAAUACCAAAGAGCUGAUAUUUAUUGAGUUCUUAUUAUGUCCCAGAUAGUGUGCUCAGAGAUGUGCAUGCAUUGGCUUCUUUGAUUCACAACAACCUUGUGAAAUAGCGACCUUUGUCAUUCCCAUUUUAUAGAUGAGGAAAUCAAGGCAUAGGGAGGCCAAGUGACUUAUCUACUUCUAAGUGGCUGACUGGGAUUCGAUCCAGCCAGCCUGCCUGCCUCCAUAUGUUAACCUCUGAGUAGAGGGCUCAGUUAAGAACUAGAAUUUCCUGCUUGCCUAACCCAACUGUAAAGUGAGGAAGUCUGCCUGGGGAAACCUGAGGUCUAAUAGGCCUGUUAGAACACCGAUGUGCUGCUUUUGGGUUCUGAAAUUCGGGUUGGGCAACUUGACACUUGUCCCUCCCAUUCUCAGCUCAGCCUGGCUUCCGUAACCAAGAGGAGGAAGACCUGUGAGUAGUGAGCAGAGCAGGAAUCAGGAGACCCAGGUGCUAACCCCAGACCUAGCCUUUAGUAAGACCAUGGUCACUGGGUCUUGAUUUUUGAACUCCUGAAACAAGAGCGUUGGUUUGGAUGAGCUGCAAGACCAUUUCCAGCUCAAUCCACAUGUGUCCUGUACCUUCAGGCAGUUUGACCGCUUGGACCCUUGGUUUCCUCAUUAGAAUAAGGGUGAUUACCCUUGCCCUCCUCCCGAGGGAUUACCCAUUAUUCUCAGCAAAGCUGGGGCACAGUAAACAUCAGGGCGUUCCAGAUAGCCAGCAGUUCCCACACCGCUGUCCAACAGCUGGAAAUGUGGCCAUGGCAGUUCUCAAAUAGCGGCUCUCUGCUCGGGUUAGAAGGGCAACUGCCUCCCGGCCACUCACUUCAGAUGUUUCCCUGUGGCCCCAAAGAGCGAGGUUGGAGCUUCCCAGUCUGGAGCUUCUGAGAAGGGUUCACUCUGAACGGAAAAUGCAGGGCUGGAGUCAGGAGGCCGGGCCAAGAGCAAGGGGCGGAGCUGGGGAGAGGCUGAGAGAGAAGCCCCAUGGCAGAAGGGGGAAGAAGGAAGACAGUGGGAGAAGACACGGGCGGGGGUCCAAGAGCACCAGAUGGGGCAGGACUGCAGGGUUCCAGUUCUGCCCGCCGCAGAAACGCUAAGUGCCCUUGGGACGGUUGUCUGUGAGAGGGAGAGGGAGGUGAGACUUUCCGAGGGCCCCUUCCACACUUAGAACAUCACCACCAUCCUCCUUUUCUCCCAUUUUGAGACAGCAGUGGUUUGGGCUUCUGCUUUCUCUUUCCUUUUAGUUUUAAUUUAGUCCCCCGCCACUUCUCUCCAUUGAACUUUGGCCACAGAAGCAAUCUCCGGUGUCAUUUAACAGCGUGUUUUGGAGUAAGCUGGGUGACAGGGACACUCAAAUGUCCGCUCUCAAGGAUUAGGAGGCAACAGUCUUAAGUUUUGAUAUCUUUAGUAUCCACCACAUAUGGCACAGCAUACAGGAGGCAUUCCAGAAGUGUAAGCUGCAAGAGUGAAUGAACGAAUGAAUGAAUGAAUGAAUGAAGUGCAGGGAUUCUGAAUAGUGGCUGCUGCCUCCUCUGCCACAGCUCCAAGGGGGAAAAAAUGUGAUUUGCUCUGCAGGCACCUGAGUCUUAAGUGGGAUUGUUGCUUUAGCCUUCCAACUGGCCACCCUUCCCUCACACGGUUGGUUUUUCUCAAGUGUGUGGCUAGAUGCAUACCUUCCCUCUAAGAACCUCCAAAGGCUCCCCUGUGGUGUAAGAUAAAAUCCUGACAUUCCCCCAUAGUUGGGUUCACACUCCCAUUUCUAAUGCCGUCUGCCUCAUCCCACAAGCCCUAAGGGUCUCCCUCCUACUAGAGACCAAUCCCAGAAUGCAACCCACCUUAACUGAAAAGCAAGUGAAAAUUGCACCUUGAGGAACUACAACAGGCUUGUACAUUGCGAGUGAUCAGUUUCAGUUAUCCUCAUUCCCGGUUUCUGGGAAUUCGAGACUUUCCUGGCCUCUCUGCUUGUGUGUUCCCCUUGGCCUCAGGGGGCCUCCCCCUUCUAUUCCCUCCGAUUCCAUCACUCGUUCCUUGCCACUCCCAGAACUGUUCUUCCCUCAGCACAUGUUUUUAAGGUGCUUUCUUGUUUGUUUUUGGGUGCCUCUGUGAUCUGCAGUUGACUUGAUAGCAGAAUCAGAAAACAUCUUGGGAUCCACUUAUCAGCCUCCUACAACGGGGCCUGGCUCUGGACAGGUGGUGCCCGACAGCUGACUCCGGGCAAGGCAGGCCCCUGCCGAGUAGUUCCCUGCAUUACACCUCAUUUCCUCCUCAAAGGCUAAGAGAUGGGUGGAACUGGACGCCCUGUUCUCUAGAUGAGGAAACUGAGGCUCAGAAAUGCCAUGCUCACGGUCAGUUAGCGGCAAGGGCCUGACUCCACAGCUUUUAACCACUGUUAAUUUGUCUUUUGAUAAUAGUUGCAGUAAGUUGGGUAAAUACCCAAAAAAGCUCUCAGCUGACUCUCCUGGGAUGUAGGUUCUCAGCCUGGUGGAGGGAAGAAAGUGGAGGACAGAACAAGAAAGACCAUCUUGCUUUCAGCCUCAUUAUGGCAGAGAUGAAGAUAGGACUCUUUAAAACCACUGGGUCCAGGGGCGCCUGGGUGGCUGAGUCAGUUAAGCGUCCGACUUUGGCUCAGGUCAUGAUCUCAUGGUUUGUGGGUUCGAGCCCCAAGUUGGGCUCUGUGCUGCCAGCUCAGAGCCGGGAGCCUGCUUUGGAUUCUGUGUCUCCCUCUCUAUCUGCCCCUCCCCUGCUCACGCUCUGUCUCUCUCAAAAACAAAUAAACAUUUAAAAAAAUUAAAAAAAAAAUCGUUGGAUCCAACCCCUCACUGUACAAAUGUAGAAACUGAGGCCCAGUAAGGGCAGUGGCAGGCCCAAGGUCACUCAAGUUUCCCAAACCCCGUGCCCCCUGCACAGCUACUAUAGCAGACACACUUGAUUUGUCAAAGUAGGUCAGGCCAGUCAGGAUAGGGAGCAGGGCCCCCCAGUCAGCAGGCGCCCUCGCACCUCUGUCACCCUCACCAGACAACUUCAGACCCAAGUCUCAGAGCAGAAACACAUCCGAUGGAAGGGAGACGGAGAAGCUGCUGCUUAUCAGUGAUCUUCACAAAGUAGAAACUUUCCGCGGGCCUCCCCAGAUCACGAUCACAUCUGGUGCCCUUGAAGAGCUCAAAAGAGGAAGUUUUGGUUUGGUUGUAAUGAAUGAAGAAUGCACAGAGACACGUCCAGGCAGCAGAGGGAGGAGGGAGUAUCUGAGACCUGGAGGGGACUGAGGCAGCCUUUCCAGGCUAGAUGUUAGCUCAGACUCUCACUCGGAUUCCCAGUCAAGAGCAUGAGGGUAGAACUUACUCCUGGGUGGGUGAAUACCUCAGGCUGUCAUGAGGACAAUCCAGUGGCAGGUCUAGGUCAAAAACACAGACCCCGUGGGAAAUAUGUUUAUGUGUCUGUAUGUCUGUUUCUAGUUAGAGAGGAAAGUGGAAAGGGAAUGACUUGGGGGCACAUCUUACACUGUCAAUGUUAGAGAAAGCCAACAUCCUUUCAUCCAACUCUCCUACUUUGUAGAUAAGAGAGUAGAGACUCAGGCAGGGACAGAAGUUGGCCUGAAGCUAGAACGCAUACACGUGGCAGAUGCAAAUUUGAACCCAGGUAGCCAGACUCCCGGUUCCAUCUCUCUGGAUGGGGGCAAGUGGUGAAACAGUGGGGGGACUGGCAAUUGGCUGGAAGGCAUUGACCCGACCCUUCUCUCCCCCAGGACACUUAAUCGGCACCUGCCACCACACGCUGCCAUUCAAAGCACACGCUUCACUCAUUUCACAGACAGAGGCUCAGUAUGUUUUUGGAUUUGACAAAGCCCAAAGCAGGGCAAGGGCUGCCGUAAGGGAUGGAAGCUGGGAAGGGCUGAAGAGGAAGAUGGGGAGUGGAGGUGGACGGGAUUUGUGGCUACGGCUCUUCAGUUGCUCACAUGUGAGCAGAAGUGACCGUGCUGGGCCUUCAGUGGCCUGUGGGAGUGGGAGCCUUUCCUAAACCCCAGCUGAAGACAAAAGCCCACCCCUGACCCCCUCCCCCCACCCCUGUCCCUUCCUUAGUCUCUGGAGCUGGAGCAGUUAGGCUCGGUCAUGGCGGCUGGUGCUGCUGACCAUUUCUCGGCACAGGUGCCGGCCAAAGCUGGUCGCCCUAGUCCUCGCCUCCACAGAUAGCCAGCAGGGCCUUCAGGAAGUCUCCAGAGGUGUCACCCUGGCAGGGGCAGAGGAAGAGCAAUGAGUUAAAACAAUCCUGAUGGCCUCGAUGCCCCUUCCUCCCAGCUGUUGUCAGCCUAAUGUCUCCCAAACACACAAACGUGACUAUGUCCCUUCUGUGGCUCCCCACUACCCUCAGGAAAAUGUCCAAGCUCUCAGCCUGGCCUCAAGGCCUUUUGUGGUCUGACCCCCAUGAAGCUUGGUGGCUUCACCCCCCUCCCCCACUUCUGGGAGCAUCUAGGUUCAUCUUCCUACUUUAAUGCUUACCACUCCUGUGUCCAGCAUGCCCUCUGCACCACUCCCAAAUCCUGCCUGGCCUCUGAUGCCCCUUCUUCUGUGAAGUGUUCCUGCCCUCUGUUCUUCCCUUCCUCCUCCCACAGCCAUUAACACAUGCGCAAAUGAGAUUCCUUAUUUGAACAGACACUGUGGAGCACUUACUGAGUACCAGGCCCUUGCAGGAAUUUAUGUGAAUGUCAUUGUGUUUUUUACACAUAAUAUCUGGCCUCCAGCAGAACUGUGGGAGGCCAGAUUCUCCCUCUUUUUAGAGUGGCUCCUGUCAUUUUUAUUUUUAUGAUAUAUGCUUUUUUUCCCUUUUUUUGGUAAACUCAUCAUUAUAACAAAUCAUCAUCAUUUUAAAAAAUCAUCAUUAUAAAUAACGAUGUAAGUCAAAGGAAAGAUGAUACAAUAAAAAUCUCCCAUUCCUGACUUCUCUUUCCCCAAAUCAAGAGAGAGCUACGAUUACUGUUGUCUUGUGCGGGUUCCCAGCAACAAUCUGAGCAUAUACUAAUAUGUAUAUGUGUAGAAUGUCCCUUUUCUACACAAAUGGACACAUAGCACUCACACUAUUCUGGGCAUACUUUUUUUGGCUUAGAGUAGAUCCGAAAUCAGCAGAUAGAGCCUCCUCAAGCUUUUUCAUGGUUGUGUCGUGCUCUAUCGUAUAGGUGUACCAUACUUUCUUUAACCAGCUCUGUACAGAGGACUUCCAAUAUUUUGCUACAUAAAUAUUCUCUUACACAUCUUUGGGAACAUGUGUAGCUAGGUCUAUAGGAUCAAUUCCCACAUACAGAAGCAGCAAGUCCGAAGUGUACGCAUUUAACAUUUUGAAAACUGCCAGACUACUCUUCAAAGAUGUGCUAACAAUGUACAUCCUCCCCACCAAGUCUGUGUGAAGCUGCUAUAACAUUUCCCAGUCUUGUCGGCCAAGCCCAGUAUCAAACUUUAAGAUCUUGGCCAACCUCGAAGCCAAAAAAAUGGGCUCUGUAAGUGAAAGAAGUCAGAUACAAAAGAUCUCACAUCACAUGGUUCUAUUUCUAUGAAAUAGCAAGAAAAGGCAAAUCUAUAGAGACACAGAGUCGCUUGGCGGGCAGGGGUGGGAAUAAGUAAGGAGGUACAAGGGAUCUUAGUGGGAUGACGGAAAUGUUCUAAAACUGGAUUGUGGCGAUGGUGCACAACUCAUUAAGUUUGCUAAAAAAAAUACUGGGUCACCUAGGUGGCUCCAUUGGUUGAGAGUCUAACUUUGGCUCAGGUCACAAUCUUACAGUCUGUGAGUUGGAGCCCCGUAGUGGGCUUUCUGCUGCCGGCAGAGCCUGCUUUGGAUCCUCUGUCCCCCUCUCUCUCUAUGUCUCUCCUGCUCACGAUCUCUCUCUCUCUCACUCUC